CAUAUUCUCCACGAGGAAGGGUGAGAACCCUUGACCAGGGUUCGACAGCCGCCACCGGCGGCUGGACGAUGCGCCCAGCGCAUCGCCCGCAGGGCGAGCCGGGCAACGCCCGGUGAGUCAAUCCCUUCCUCACCGCCA
rfam:Shimwellia blattae DSM 4481 = NBRC 105725, complete genome.